AUGGAAUCCUGGCAGCCUGUUAAUAAUCUCACAUUAUAAUCUAAAACCAGGCAUUGUUAGAAUAAAAACCCUGAAGGUUUUAAACAGCAUGUUCCUCUUAUUUAAAAUUUUACACACUCCUCCUCGGUAUCACGUCUUUCCAGCGAAACCGAAAGGAUGAAGACAAAGUGAUUGAUUGCACAAGUUUUUCUCGACUUGAUCGGACUGGAGUUUGGUGAAAUAUUAAUCCCGGUGUCAGCAAUCCAUGACCGGGAGGGAAAUAGGAGCAGCAGCAGUCAGUUUGGUGAUGUUGGAAACCGUGGAGCACCAUAUCGUAAAUCUAGCAGCUGCAACCUUUCCUAAAGAGUCAGCGCAGAAAUACUGAGGGGGAAACAUCAGGUUUGGUUACAAUGUGCGCGGCUGCUUCGGGAGUAAGUCCUUGGAUCUCGCUGUUACUGGUAGAGAUGGGUUUGCUCGUGUGAGGAUCCUGCAGAAGAACAUGAUAAAUGUGUCUGAUCGGAACUCUACUCCGCAGUGUCCUGGUGCUUCUCCUGCUGGCCAACUCCUCUGGUAAACGUAGAUGUAACUAUAAAGAAAUACUGGGCUCUUACAGAGAAGUCAUCUUCGUUGAGCUGCAGAACUUGAAUGUCACUGGUUCACAGAAUACCUUCAAAGAGAGAGACCCCUGUCCUUCAGGAAAGGCUCGUCGCAUCCUGGUCUCCAUCUAUGGUAUGACACAGAGGAUGCGGUGUCAGAGGAGCGGUAAGCAGCCGUCUACCCUGGAAAAGCCAGUGGAGAGGAUGGAGCAGCUCAUCAUUAAUAAGUGCAGUCCUGAUUACCUGGGGAAGAGAGCCUCCUGUAGAACUGUCCAGAAAAUAAAAGGAAAGAAGAGAAAGCGGAUCAAGUUCAUCAAGGUUAUACAGGCUCUGAUCACCUGUUGGCAGAAACUUCAGAGCGUGUAUAUGCUCUCAGAUUAAAACAUGGUUCCUGUAAAACCUGUGCUACUGAUAUACAUGAAGAUAUCAUGUGAUGUUCCAGAACGGUCACAGCAACAAAUACUUUCUGUUUUUCCAUGUAAUGUGAUGUUUACUUACCGUCGUCAGGUUCUCAUUGUUGUGUAUUACAAACUGCACCAGCUUUUGCAUGUCAAUGUUUCUACCUGUUUAAUGGAAUAGUUCUAUAGUAACCACAGAUAAGCUAACAAAAAUAUCCACAAUGCAUUCAAAUCUUUACUUUACUAUGAUGUUUUAUGUUUGCCAUGUGUCAUCAUAUCC
rnacentral:lncRNA from 1 species